CAGGCUUAACACAUGCAAGUCGAGGGGCAUCAGGAAGAAAGCUUGCUUUCUUUGCUGGCGACCGGCGCACGGGUGAGUAACACGUAUCCAACCUGCCCUUUACUCGGGGAUAGCCUUUCGAAAGAAAGAUUAAUACCCGAUGGCAUAAUGAUUCCGCAUGGUUUCAUUAUUAAAGGAUUCCGGUAAAGGAUGGGGAUGCGUUCCAUUAGGUUGUUGGUGAGGUAACGGCUCACCAAGCCUUCGAUGGAUAGGGGUUCUGAGAGGAAGGUCCCCCACAUUGGAACUGAGACACGGUCCAAACUCCUACGGGAGGCAGCAGUGAGGAAUAUUGGUCAAUGGGCGCUAGCCUGAACCAGCCAAGUAGCGUGAAGGAUGAAGGCUCUAUGGGUCGUAAACUUCUUUUAUAUAAGAAUAAAGUGCAGUAUGUAUACUGUUUUGUAUGUAUUAUAUGAAUAAGGAUCGGCUAACUCCGUGCCAGCAGCCGCGGUAAUACGGAGGAUCCGAGCGUUAUCCGGAUUUAUUGGGUUUAAAGGGAGCGUAGGUGGACUGGUAAGUCAGUUGUGAAAGUUUGCGGCUCAACCGUAAAAUUGCAGUUGAUACUGUCAGUCUUGAGUACAGUAGAGGUGGGCGGAAUUCGUGGUGUAGCGGUGAAAUGCUUAGAUAUCACGAAGAACUCCGAUUGCGAAGGCAGCUCACUGGACUGCAACUGACACUGAUGCUCGAAAGUGUGGGUAUCAAACAGGAUUAGAUACCCUGGUAGUCCACACAGUAAACGAUGAAUACUCGCUGUUUGCGAUAUACAGUAAGCGGCCAAGCGAAAGCAUUAAGUAUUCCACCUGGGGAGUACGCCGGCAACGGUGAAACUCAAAGGAAUUGACGGGGGCCCGCACAAGCGGAGGAACAUGUGGUUUAAUUCGAUGAUACGCGAGGAACCUUACCCGGGCUUAAAUUGCAGUGGAAUGAUGUGGAAACAUGUCAGUGAGCAAUCACCGCUGUGAAGGUGCUGCAUGGUUGUCGUCAGCUCGUGCCGUGAGGUGUCGGCUUAAGUGCCAUAACGAGCGCAACCCUUAUCUUUAGUUACUAACAGGUUAUGCUGAGGACUCUAGAGAGACUGCCGUCGUAAGAUGUGAGGAAGGUGGGGAUGACGUCAAAUCAGCACGGCCCUUACGUCCGGGGCUACACACGUGUUACAAUGGGGGGUACAGAAGGCAGCUAGCGGGUGACCGUAUGCUAAUCCCAAAAGCCUCUCUCAGUUCGGAUCGAAGUCUGCAACCCGACUUCGUGAAGCUGGAUUCGCUAGUAAUCGCGCAUCAGCCACGGCGCGGUGAAUACGUUCCCGGGCCUUGUACACACCGCCCGUCAAGCCAUGGGAGCCGGGGGUACCUGAAGUACGUAACCGCAAGGAUCGUCCUAGGGUAAAACCGAUGACUGGGGCUAAGUCGU
rnacentral:rRNA from 1 species